UUCUGCUCUGCUUUGCGCGGGAGAAAUAAUUGGCACAAAUCGCCCGAAAAACAACUAGACUUGUGUGCAGCCGUGCACAAACGAUGCCUCAGAUAUUCCACGUGGUUCGCUGUCAUCAGUGCGAAACGUUUCAGGUGCAUCAGGUGAAAAAAGUAAACAAAUGGGUGUGCAAAUUAUGCGGUGAAAAGCAGUCCGUAACGCGGGAGUACGGAAGAGGAUCUGGCAAGGAGUGCAGGAUACACGUUCAGAACCUAAAUUCGAUGAGAGGCGCACUAUCAUCGUCUAGUCUGAAUGAACAGGAACAAACUGAAACGAGUUAUCAAGAAGAGUUGGUCCCUGCCGAUGAUGAGCAGGAUGCCAUUAAUAGAUGCGAGCAAACAUCUACAAAUACCCCAGUGAGCAAGUGGAAGAAGUUCGUUGAUAGCAGCUUUGAGCAAUGCUCAACACUGAACCGAGCCAACGAGGACCCAUCUCUAGAAUUUGUCGAAUCAUGCAGUGAACCAAAACACCAGUCAUUGUUACACUGUGAAGACGUUGCUUCUGCAGAUGUGCAGGAAACUGAAAGCAUUCAAGAAGAAAACUAUGACCUAAAUGCAGGUGUGGGUUUGAGAGCAUGCAGCACUUUGAAAAAUCUGCUGUCACGUUCCAAGUUUUCCAGUCUCCAGCUCUGUGAUGAAGACUUUGAGUUGUGAAAUUUUCACAGUUCCUUAGGUGUUGUUGCUGUCUGCAUUCAUGUAUCUGCUUAAUACAGUGGCAGCUGCUGUGCAUGUGGGGUUCGACUAGCAUGAACACCAUAGGCAUUGUUUCUGUAUGUCAAAAUCUUAUUUGUGAACAAACGCACAGCCUCAGGGCAAAGACAAAGGAAGUGUGAAAGCUCAGAGCCGAGGCAGUGUCUGCAACGUGUGUUCAUGGGCGCUCUGAAACUGCAGUAAUGUGGAUAUCAGACAAGUUAAAAGUUCAUAAUAUGACCCGAGCUGCUCCUUAAGUUUCCUUGGCAGCGCGGAACCUUGUAAUGAAUAAAAAUUUAGCUUCAUGAACAA